CCUACGGGUGGCAGCAGUCGAGAAUCAUUCACAAUGGGGGAAACCCUGAUGGUGCGACGCCGCGUGGGGGAAUGAAGGUCUUCGGAUUGUAAACCCCUGUCAUGUGGGAGCAAAUUAAAAAGAUAGUACCACAAGAGGAAGAGACGGCUAACUCUGUGCCAGCAGCCGCGGUACUACAGAGGUCUCAAGCGUUGUUCGGAAUCACUGGGCGUAAAGCGUGCGUAGGCUGUUUCGUAAGUCGUGUGUGAAAGGCGCGGGCUCAACCCGCGGACGGCACAUGAUACUGCGAGACUAGAGUAAUGGAGGGGGAACCGGAAUUCGCGGUGUAGCAGUGAAAUGCGUAGAUAUGGAGAGGAACACUCGUGGCGAAGGCGGGUUCCUGGACAUUAACUGACGCUGAGGCACGAAGGCCAGGGGAGCGAAAGGGAUUAGAUACCCCUGUAGUC
rnacentral:rRNA from 1 species